rnacentral:ncRNA from 1 species
UAUGAAUGCUGACGGCAUGCUUAACACAUGCAAGUCAGACGAAAAACACAAAAAAUGGUGUUUUUAGUGGUGGACAGGUGAGAAACAUGUAAGAAUCUGUCCUUAGGGGGAACAGCAGCGGGAAACGACUGCUAAUAUCCCGUAGGCUGAGGAGUAAAAGGAGGAAUCCGUCUGAGGAGGGGCUCGUGUCUGAUUAGCUAGUUGGUGAGACAAUAGCUUACCAAGGUGAUGAUCAGUACAUAGCUGGUCCGAGAAGAUGAUCAACCACACUGGGACUGAGACACAACCCAGACUCCUACGGGAGGCAACAAUGAGGAAUUUUUUGCAAUGGGUGAAAGCCUGAUGGAGCAAUGCUGCGUGAAGGUAGAAGGCCCACGGGUCGUGAACUUCUUAUUCCGGAGAAGAAACAAACUUGUCAUGUCAAAGAAAAUUUGAAUUAUAUGUUCGAUAGUAAUGUA